rnacentral:sRNA from 2 species
CUUUCGUUCGACUGGCCUGUUGGAAUCCUAUUGAGGAUCCUCGUUGGAACGCUUUCAAAACAUCUCGAGUAACAACGCCAGAUCGUGCUACAACGGGUGUUCCAAGCCCCCCAUCGGCUUCGCUGCGAAUGGACCCGAUUUGUGGCCUUUUCGACCUAUCCGAAUCCCUGACCACAAAUCAUCCCAACUGCUCCAGCUGGGGGACUACCGGGAACUUACCCACCUUGGACCUGGCUCGAGUUAGUGGCCGACGGUUUGAGGUUAAAACGACCUGGACCAGUGAUCUCGCCACUCUCCAUUGUUGUCAAGAAAUCUUGAAGGACGGACUCGCUGGAGUCGAGUGGAUCCCACAAAAAAAAAGAGGAAGAGGAAAAAGAGG